rnacentral:rRNA from 1 species
AGUGAACGCUGGCGGUAGGCCUAACACAUGCAAGUCGAACGAGCGGCGGACGGGUGAGGAAUACAUCGGAAUCUACUCUGUCGUGGGGGAUAACUACUGGAAACGGUAGCUAAUACCGCGUACCAUCGGAUGUGCCCAGAUGGGAUUCGCUUGUAGGUGAGGUAACGGCUAACCUAGGCGACGAUCCCUAGCUGGUCUGAGAGGAUGACCAGCCACACUGGAACUGAGACACGGUCCAGACUCCUACGGGAGGCAGCAGUGGGGAAUAUUGCACAAUGGGCGCAAGCCUGAUGCAGCCAUGCCGCGUGUAUGAAGAAGGCCUUCGGGUUGUAAAGUACUUUCAGCGGGGAGGCGUUACCCGCAGAAGAAGCACCGGCUAACUCCGUGCCAGCAGCCGCGGUAAUAC